UACGGGGGGGGCAAGCGUUGUUCGGAAUUACUGGGCGUAAAGGGCGCGUAGGUGGCCAACUAAGUCAGACGUGAAAUCCCCAGGCUUAACCUGGGAACUGCGUCUGAUACUGGAUGGCUUGAAUCCGGGAGAGGGAUGCAGAAUUCCAGGUGUAGCGGUGAAAUGCGUAGAUAUCUGGAGGAAUACCGGUGGCGAAGGCGGCAUCCUGGACCGGCAUUGACGCUGAGGAGCGAAAGCUAGGGGAGCAAACGGG
rnacentral:rRNA from 1 species